rnacentral:rRNA from 1 species
AUUGAACGCUGGCGGCAGGCUUAACACAUGCAAGUCGGGCGGAGUGAUGGUGCUUGCACUAUCACUUAGCGGCGGACGGGUGAGUAAUGCUUAGGAAUCUGCCUAUUAGUGGGGGACAACAUCUCGGAAGGGAUGCUAAUACCGCAUACGUCCUACGGGAGAAAGCAGGGGAUCACUUGUGACCUUGCGCUAAUAGAUGAGCCUAAGUCGGAUUAGCUAGUUGGUGGGGUAAAGGCCUACCAAGGCGACGAUCUGUAGCGGGUCUGAGAGGAUGAUCCGCCACACUGGGACUGAGACACGGCCCAGACUCCUACGGGAGGCAGCAGUGGGGAAUAUUGGACAAUGGGGGGAACCCUGAUCCAGCCAUGCCGCGUGUGUGAAGAAGGCCUUAUGGUUGUAAAGCACUUUAAGCGAGGAGGAGGCUUACCUAGUUAAUACCUGGGAUAAGUGGACGUUACUCGCAGAAUAAGCACCGGCUAACUCUGUGCCAGCCGCCGCAGUAA